CCUACGGGCGGCAGCAGUGGGGAAUAUUGGUCAAUGGCCGAGAGGCUGAACCAGCCAAGUCGCGUGAGGGAAGAAUGUCCUAUGGCUUGUAAACCUCUUUUGUCAGGGCGCAAAGUCACCCACGUGUGGGUGUUGGAGAGUAUCUGACGCAAAGGCAUCGGCUAAGUCCGUGCCAGCAGCCGCGGUAAUACGGAGGAUGCGAGUGUUAUCUGGCUUUAUUGGGUUUAACGGGUGCGUAGGCGGGUUAUCAAGUCAGCGGUAAAAUCGAGGAUCUCAACUCCAUCCAGCUGUUGAAACUGAUGAUCUUGAGAGGGCGAGAGGGAUGCGGAAUGCCUGGUGUAGCGGUGAAAGGCAUAGAUAUCACGCAGAACACCAGUGGCGAAGGCAGCAUACUGGCGUCCUACUGACGCUGAGGCACGAAAGCGUGGGUAGCGAACAGGAGUAGAUACCCGAGUAGUC
rnacentral:rRNA from 1 species